rnacentral:rRNA from 1 species
UACAGAGACGGCGAGCGUUGUUCGGAUUCAUUGGGCGUAAAGGGUGCGUAGGCGGUCGGCUAAGUCGGAUGUGAAAUCUCACAGCCCAACUGUGAGCGGUCAUUCGAAACUAGACGGCUAGAGGACUGGAGAGGAGACUGGAAUGGUCGGUGUAGCGGUGAAAUGCGUAGAGAUCGACCAGAACACCGGUGGCGAAGGCGGCUUGCCAGAAUGCGCUCGACGGUGAGGGAUGAAAGCUGGGGGAGCAAACCGG